rnacentral:rRNA from 1 species
GAUGAACGCUGGCGGCGUGCCUAAUACAUGCAAGUCGAGCGAACGGACGAGAAGCUUGCUUCUCUGAUGUUAGCGGCGGACGGGUGAGUAACACGUGGAUAACCUACCUAUAAGACUGGGAUAACUUCGGGAAACCGUAGCUAAUACCGGAUAAUAUUUUGAACCGCAUGGUUCAAAAGUGAAAGACGGUCUUGCUGUCACUUAUAGAUGGAUCCGCGCUGCAUUAGCUAGUUGGUAAGGUAACGGCUUACCAAGGCAACGAUGCAUAGCCGACCUGAGAGGGUGAUCGGCCACACUGGAACUGAGACACGGUCCAGACUCCUACGGGAGGCAGCAGUAGGGAAUCUUCCGCAAUGGGCGAAAGCCUGACGGAGCAACGCCGCGUGAGUGAUGAAGGUCUUCGGAUCGUAAAGCUCUGUUAUUAGGGAAGAACAUCUGUGUAAGUAACUGUGCACAUCUUGACGGUACCUAAUCAGAAAGCCACGGCUAACUACGUG